rnacentral:rRNA from 1 species
UACAGAGGGUGCGAGCGUUAAUCGGAAUUACUGGGCGUAAAGCGCGCGUAGGCGGCUUUGCAAGUCGGGUGUGAAAUCCCCAGGCUUAACCUGGGAACUGCAUUCGAGACUGCAUUGCUAGAGUAUGGGAGAGGGAAGUGGAAUUUCCGGUGUAGCGGUGAAAUGCGUAGAUAUCGGAAGGAACAUCAGUGGCGAAAGCAACUUCCUGGACCAAUACUGACGCUCAUGUGCGAAAGCGUGGGGAGCAAACAGG